UAGGCUGAAACUCGCCUAUAUGAAGCUGGAAUUGCUAGUAAUCACAGGUCAGCAUACUGUGGUGAAUACGUUCCCGGGCCUUGUACACACCGCCCGUCACACCAUGAGAGUUGAGAAUACCCGAAGCCCAUGUCAAAGUGGUCGAAGGUAGGCUUGAUGAUUGGGGUGAAGUCGUAACAAGGUAGC
rnacentral:rRNA from 1 species